GCCGUGAUCGUAUAGUGGUUAGUACUCUGCGUUGUGGCCGCAGCAAUGCCGGUUCGAAUCCGGGUCACGGCA
rnacentral:tRNA from 1 species